rnacentral:tRNA from 1 species
GAGUUGUUAGUCCAAACAAGACGGUUGAUUUCGACUCAACAAAUUAUGGUUAAACCCCAUAACGACUUU